rnacentral:misc_RNA from 1 species
AAAUGCGAUAAGUAAUGUGAAUUGCAGAAUUCAGUGAAUCAUCGAAUCUUUGAACGCACCUUGCGCUCCUUGGUAUUCCUUGGAGCAUGCCUGUUUGAGUAUCAUGAAAUCUUCAAAGUAAAUCUUUUGUUAACUCAAUUGGUUUCUACUUUGGUAUUGGAGGUCUUUGCAGCUUCACACCUGCUCCUCUUUGUUCAUUAGCUGGAUCUCAGUGUUAUGCUUGGUUCCACUCGGCGUGAUAAAUUAUCUAUCGCUGAGGACACUGUAAAAGGUGGCCAAGGUAAAUGCAGAUGAACCGCUUCUAAUAGUCCAUUGACUUGGACAAUACUUUUAUGAUCUGAUCUCAAAUCAGGUAGGACUACCCGCUGAACUUAAGC